rnacentral:tRNA from 1 species
GUGUGGUGUAGUGGUUAAGAGCGGUAGACUAGUAAUCUGGUGAACGGGGUUCGAUUCCCUGCUCCUCCA